rnacentral:tRNA from 1 species
GAGGCUGUAGCUCAGUGGUAGAGCACUUGUCUUGCAUGCGUGAGACCCUGGGUUCAAUUCCCAGCACCACA